GUUGUGAGGUUAAGCGACUAAGCGUACACGGUGGAUGCCCUGGCAGUCAGAGGCGAUGAAGGGCGUGCUAAUCUGCGAUAAGCGCCGGUAAGGUGAUAUGAACCGUUAUAACCGGCGAUACCCGAAUGGGGAAACCCAGUGUGACUCGUCACACUAUCAUUAACUGAAUCCAUAGGUUAAUGAGGCGAACCGGGGGAACUGAAACAUCUAAGUACCCCGAGGAAAAGAAAUCAACCGAGAUUCCCCCAGUAGCGGCGAGCGAACGGGGAGGAGCCCAGAGCCUGAAUCAGCAUGUGUGUUAGUGGAAGCGUCUGGAAAGGCGCGCGAUACAGGGUGACAGCCCCGUACACAAAAGCGCAUGUGCUGUGAGCUCGAUGAGUAGGGCGGGACACGUGGUAUCCUGUCUGAAUAUGGGGGGACCAUCCUCCAAGGCUAAAUACUCCUGACUGACCGAUAGUGAACCAGUACCGUGAGGGAAAGGCGAAAAGAACCCCGGCGAGGGGAGUGAAAAAGAACCUGAAACCGUGU
rnacentral:rRNA from 1 species